rnacentral:rRNA from 1 species
UGGGGAAUUUUGGACAAUGGGCGAAAGCCUGAUCCAGCAAUGCCGCGUGAGUGAAGAAGGCCUUCGGGUUGUAAAGCUCUUUUGUCAGGGAAGAAACGGUGAGAGCUAAUAUCUCUUGCUAAUGACGGUACCUGAAGAAUAAGCACCGGCUAACUACGUGCCAGCAGCCGCGGUGAUACGUAGGGCGCAAGCGUUAAUCGGAAUUACUGGGCGUAAAGCGUGCGCAGGCGGUUUUGUAAGUCUGAUGUGAAAUCCCCGGGCUCAACCUGGGAAUUGCAUUGGAGACUGCAAGGCUAGAAUCUGGCAGAGGGGGGUAGAAUUCCACGUGUAGCAGUGAAAUGCGUAGAUAUGUGGAGGAACACCGAUGGCGAAGGCAGCCCCCUGGGUCAAGAUUGACGCUCAUGCACGAAAGCGUGGGGAGCAAAACAGGAUUAGAUACCCUGGUAGUCCACGCCCUAAACGAUGUCUACUAGUUGUCGGGUCUUAAUUGACUUGGUAACGCAGCUAACGCGUGAAGUAGACCGCCUGGGGAGUACGGUCGCAAGGUU